AACGAACGCUGGCGGCAGGUUUUAGGCAUGCAAGUCGAACGAGAAAGCACUUUCGGGUGCGAGUAGAGUGGCGCACGGGUGAGUAACGCGUGGGAAAUUACCUAGUAGUGGGGGAUAACAGUUGGAAACGACUGCUAAUACCGCAUAAUCCCUUCGGGGGAAAGAUUUAUCGCUACUAGAUAUGCCCGCGUUAGAUUAGUUAGUUGGUGGGGUAAAGGCCUACCAAGGCGAUGAUCUAUAGCUGGUUUGAGAGGAUGAUCAGCCACACUGGAACUGAGACACGGUCCAGACUCCUACGGGAGGCAGCAGCUAAGAAUAUUGGACAAUGGGGGGAACCCUGAUCCAGCCAUGCCGCGUGAUUGAAGACGGCCUUCGGGUUGUAAAGAUCUUUCAAUUGUGAGGAUGAUGACAGUAACAAUAGAAGAAGCCCCGGCUAACUUCG
rnacentral:rRNA from 1 species